rnacentral:rRNA from 1 species
CAAUAGCGUAUAUUAAAGUUGUUGCGGUUAAAAAGCUCGUAGUUGGAUUUCUGCUGAGGAUGACCGGUCCGCCCAUUGGGUGUGUAUCUGGCUCUUUCUUGGCAUCUUCUUGGUGAACGUUACUGCACUUGACUGUGUGGAGCGCUACCCAGGACUUUUACUUUGAGGAAAUUAGAGUGUUUCAAGCAGGCAUACGCCUUGAAUACGUUAGCAUGGAAUAAUAAGAUAGGACCUCGGUUCUAUUUUGUUGGUUUCUAGAGCUGAGGUAAUGAUUAAUAGGGAUAGUUGGGGGCAUUCGUAUUUAACUGUCAGGGGUGAAAUUCUUGGAUUUGUUAAAGACGGACUACUGCGAAAGCAUUUGCCAAGGAUGUUUUCAUUGA